GUGUCCUUACAGAACCACAUAACAUCACAUCAUCUUACUGUUUACUGGAGGAGCCACCAAGAACAGCUCAGACGGCUAACAAUGCUGUUGACUGAAGUCCUCUAUAAACUUCACAGAGUGACGGUAGAAAUAGAAAACAUCACUACAGAGAGGAUGAGAACCAUAACUUGGUUUCCAGAUGACACAGCACAAUCAAGAUAGACAAGAAAAAUGAUCAAGACUACAGAAAAAGAUGAAUCUGCCCUAAAUAAGUGUAUCUACCCAACACGACUGGAUUUGUUUUCCCCAAAGACAUUAGCCCACUUACUGACCCACAUUGGGGCCUGAUGGGGUGAAAAUAAGAAG